rnacentral:lncRNA from 1 species
NUUACGAAAUAAUUUUAUAAAUAAUUUUAUAUAAAAUAUACUAUUAUAAAUUAAUUAUUUUAUUUCUAAAAAUAUAUUUAGACAUUGUUCUGAACUUUUUAUCCAAACGCUACUGAAAUUAUUCUCUAGAAUAUCCAGAAUGCAUCCAAACACAAAUUUACAAUUGUUCAAUCUUGUAUUGGAAUAUCCCCUAUUUUCGAAAACAACAAAAGUUGUUCUCCAAAAUUAGUUCUCCAACCAAACGCAGCUUAAAUGUCGACAUAUCAUUGCAUAAUCAACAAAACAGACUGACCGUCCCUAACGCAAGUGGCAAAAGGGCUUGGUGGCCGGUUGGUAUCCGAGACCUAAGUUCGAAUCCUAGUUGAUUCACAUUUCUAGCUAAGUUUAUUUCUAAAUGAAAUAAACGAAGCGAGACGAAGCGGGUAGCAUGCUACCUUUCUCUCUCAAAAAAAAAAAAACAGUUCUCUCGGUUAUAUU